CAUGGAAUAGACACAGCUUUUCUUUGGGGAUCUGCACUUAUGAUCGCUCCAGUUCUUCAAGAGGCAACAAAAUCAGUGGAUGUAUAUUUCCCAGAAGCACCCUGGUUUGAUUACUAUACGGGCGAGAAAGUAUCAGCUUCAUUGCACAAUAAGUACGUCAGCAUUAAUGCGCCACUGGAAAAGAUUCCACUGUUUAUACGAGGAGGAAACAUUUUGCCAACAC